AAAAAAUUGCUAAACAUCUCUCUCCAUAACUGUGGCUCACCCUUUUUAAUUGGCCAUUUGCGAAACGUUUCUCUCUCAAAUAAUCACUCUACCUAAAGUGAAACUGGACACCUCCUUCCCACAUCUCCCACACGGAAGGAGUAGGAACAGAACAGAGAGACUCUUCUCUUUAAAACAUAGCGCGUCGCUGUCUCUGGUCACCACCAACUAACCCAGUGAUCUCCCGCAUGAUCUCUUCAAUUGAUUCAAACUUCUGUCAAUUGGGGAGCCAGUGACGUUUUUGUUGCUACUACUUUCAUCCUAAAUUGUUAUAUUGGUAUUUAAAAAAGUUGUAACCAAUCAUUUUUUAUUUGGUUUCACAGGCAGAGAUUUCAGAAGCAAUGUUUUUUUUUUUGUAGAAGACUGGAUCGGAGAUGCAGAAGGAGAAAAUGAGAGAGCACUUCGAAAAUAAGGCCAGAUCUUAAAGGCCGUCAUCAUCUGAACGAGUCAAGUACAAUGCUACUACCCGACGGACACACCUUUCUCCUCCUACCAUCAUCAACAUCAAGUCAUUUCUUACUACCGGUACUCUACCGCUUACAUUGCCGUUUAUUAUGGUUACAACCCGGUCAAUAAAUUCGUUGGAUUAAUUUUCACCCAAAAAAAAACCUUGGAUUGGUAUAAACUCCUCCACCAAUGACAAGCGAAGGGAUGCAGGGUUGAUUGAUGAUCCACAUGGUGGUAAUUGUGUAAUUUUCAGUUUUUAUUUUAAUAUUAAUGUGGGAUCCAUGGCUAACAUAGAGACUAACGUGACUAAAUGAUGAUUGAAUGGUGAU